rnacentral:rRNA from 1 species
GACGAACGCUGGCGGCGUGCUUAACACAUGCAAGUCGAGCGGUAAGGCCCUUUCGGGGGUACACGAGCGGCGAACGGGUGAGUAACACGUGGGUGACCUGCCUUUAGCUCUGGGAUAAGCCUGGGAAACCGGGUCUAAUACCGGAUAUGACUCCGCGGCGCAUGUUGUGGGGUGGAAAGCCUUGUGCGGCUGGGAGAUGGGCCCGCGGCCUAUCAGCUUGUUGGUGGGGUGAUGGCCUACCAAGGCGACGACGGGUAGCCGCCUGAGAGGGCGACCGGCCACACUGGGACUGAGACACGGCCCAGACUCCUACGGGAGGCAGCAGUGGGGAAUCUUGCGCAAUGGGCGAAAGCCUGACGCAGCGACGCCGCGCGAGGGAUGACGGCCU